rnacentral:rRNA from 1 species
UACGAAGGGGGCGAGCGUUGUUCGGAAUUACUGGGCGUAAAGAGCGCGCAGGCGGUUGAUUAAGUCGAAUGUGAAAGCCCCCGGCUCAACUGGGGAGGGUCAUUCGAUACUGAUCGACUUGAAGGCAGGAGAGGGAAGUGGAAUUCCGGGUGUAGUGGUGAAAUGCGUAGAUAUCCGGAGGAACACCAGUGGCGAAGGCGACUUCCUGGCCUGUUCUUGACGCUGAGGCGCGAAAGCUGGGGGAGCAAACGGG